rnacentral:rRNA from 1 species
ACGCGAAGAACCUUACCCUGGGCUCGAAAUGCUAUGGACAGAUACAUGUGAAAGCAGAUCUUCUCGCAAGAGACCGUAGUAUAGGUGCUGCAUGGCUGUCGUCAGCUCGUGUCGUGAGAUGUUGGGUUAAGUCCCGCAACGAGCGCAACCCUUGUCCUGUGUUGCCACUCCCGUAAGGGAAGCACUCUCAGGAGACCGCCAGCGAUAAGUUGGAGGAAGGUGGGGAUGAUGUCAAGUCAUCAUGGCCUUUAUGUCCAGGGCUACACACGUGCUACAAUGGACGGUACAAAGCGCUGCAAACCCGCGAGGGGGAGCCAAUCGCAAAAAACCGUUCUCAGUUCGGAUCGACAAGGCUGCAACUCGCCUGCAAAUGAAGCUGGAAUCGCUAGUAAUGGCGUAUCAGAACGAUGCCGUGAAUACGUUCCGCGGGUCUUGUACACACCG